AGCUUGAACACCCCAAAGCUCGGUUCGGCUCGGCUCAUUUGCAACCCUAAUUAGCUCUCCAUAACUGAAAUUAAAUGCACAGCAAGGACUCUAGAAAGACAAGAGAUGUCUUCUUUCCACCAAAUAUUGACACUUACACAGUUUAAUUUGCUUUCGGUCGGUGCAUGGGACUCACAGGGGCCCUUUUGCUUCCCUUUAAUUACUCUCUUACCCAAUGCAGCUAGCAAUUCCAAAUGGGUAAGGUUUGUAGUGAAAGUAUUGCUCUUUAAACGUACAUGACAUACCCUGGAUUGGGAGAACCAAACGCUAGAUAGAUAUCGUAGCUUCUUUUGAGCAAAGUUGUGCAUUGAUGACAGCAGGAGCUGGGUCUGAGUUGGUCAUAGCUUUGGGUGCUGCUCCAUUAAUUUAAGAUGCCAGGUUGCUUCGGUAUAUAUUUCUCUUAAUCCUUCAGGUUUGGUCGUCUCUUUAAGCUCUGGUGCACGCAGUCGAAGAUGAAGCACUGCUCCAGCCUUGGCAAUCUACAGCAGGAAGAGUUAUGGCACGCUUGUGCUGGGCCGCUGGUGUCCUUGCCUGCUGUUGGAAGUAGAGUGGUGUAUUUUCCACAGGGUCAUAUGGAACAAGUGAUCAGCACAUAGAUCAUAAUAUCGAUUACUAAAACAUAUCUACUUGAUUUAAAAUUAGAUUAACACAAUGCCAGGUAACUGCAUCAACCAAUGAAGAAAUUGCUCCUUUUUCCAGCUUCCCUUGCUUGUCUUCUCAGCUUAUUUGCCACCUGCACAAUGUCACAAUGCAUGCUGAUGAAGAGACAGACGAAGUUUAUGCCCAGAUGACGUUGCAAACAAUAUGCCUG